UACGGAGGGUGCAAGCGUUAUCCGGAUUCACUGGGCUUAAAGGGUGCGUAGGCGGGUUGGUAAAUCCGUGGUGAAAUCCCCAAGCUUAACUUGGGAACUGCCGUGGAUACUAUCAAUCUUGAAUAUCGUGGAGGUAAGCGGAAUAUGUCAUGUAGCGGUGAAAUGCUUAGAUAUGACAUAGAACACCAAUUGCGUAGGCAGCUUACUACACGAUCAUUGACGCUGAGGCACGAAAGCGUGGGGAGCAAACAGG
rnacentral:rRNA from 1 species